rnacentral:rRNA from 1 species
AGAUGGAUUGGUGCCUUCGGGAACUCUGACACAGGUGCUGCAUGGCUGUCGUCAGCUCGUGUCGUGAGAUGUUGGGUUAAGUCCCGUAACGAGCGCAACCCUUGUCCUUAGUUACCAGCACGUUAUGGUGGGCACUCUAAGGAGACUGCCGGUGACAAACCGGAGGAAGGUGGGGGAUGACGUCAAGUCAUCAUGGCCCUUACGGCCUGGGCUACACACGUGCUACAAUGGUCGGGUACAAAGGGUUGCCAAGCCGCGAGGUGGAGCUAAUCCCAUAAAACCGGUCGCAGUUCGGAUUGAAGUCUGCAACUCGACUUCAUGAAGCUGGAAUCGCUAGUAAUCGUGGAUCAGCCAAGCCGCGGUGAAUACGUUCCCGGGCCUU